rnacentral:lncRNA from 1 species
CAAUGAAAAAUUGCUGCAAAAAUUGGGUGAUCCAAGCAUGCAGUUCAACUCGUGAUUAAACGUGGGAUAUCUGGAAUAAUAAAAUGUCCUGGACGAAAACAAAGCCUCUCUGCAAAAGCCAGAAGAUGAAUCAUCCAUAUGGCGGUCUCAUAAAAGAUGUCUGCAGCCGCUAUAGCAAUGUACUUUCCAUCAGCACCAUCACGGCAAACUGUGUCUUGAGUGCUACACAAUAUCUCAAGCAUAAAAUAGGUAAAGAUGAAGGCGAAACCAUGUUUAACAAAACAUCAUAAGCAACAACGCAUGGAUGCUAUAGAAGAGUGGAUGACACUAUGCAUC